rnacentral:rRNA from 1 species
AUUGAACGCUGGCGGCAUGCUUUACACAUGCAAGUCGAACGGUAACAGGCCGCAAGGUGCUGACGAGUGGCGAACGGGUGAGUAAUGCAUCGGAACGUGCCCAGUCGUGGGGGAUAACGCAGCGAAAGCUGCGCUAAUACCGCAUACGAUCUAUGGAUGAAAGCGGGGGACCGUAAGGCCUCGCGCGAUUGGAGCGGCCGAUGUCAGAUUAGGUAGUUGGUGGGGUAAAGGCUCACCAAGCCAACGAUCUGUAGCUGGUCUGAGAGGACGACCAGCCACACUGGGACUGAGACACGGCCCAGACUCCUACGGGAGGCAGCAGUGGGGAAUUUUGGACAAUGGGCGCAAGCCUGAUCCAGCAAUGCCGCGUGCAGGAAGAAGGCCUUCGGGUUGUAAACUGCUUUUGUACGGAACGAAACGGUCCUGGUUAAUACCCGGGGCUAAUGACGGUACCGUAAGAAUAAGCACCGGCUAACUACGUGCCAGCCGCCGCUGUAACAC